CCUACGGGAGGCAGCAGUGGGGAAUAUUGGACAAUGGGGGCAACCCUGAUCCAGCCAUGCCGCGUGUGUGAAGAAGGCCCUCGGGUUGUAAAGCACUUUCAGUGAGGAAGAACGCCUGGUGGUUAAUACCCAUCAGGAAAGACAUCACUCACAGAAGAAGCACCGGCUAACUCCGUGCCAGCAGCCGCGGUAAUACGGAGGGUGCGAGCGUUAAUCGGAAUUACUGGGCGUAAAGCGCGCGUAGGUGGCUUGAUAAGCCGGUUGUGAAAGCCCCGGGCUCAACCUGGGAACGGCAUCCGGAACUGUCAAGCUAGAGUGCAGGAGAGGAAGGUAGAAUUCCCGGUGUAGCGGGGAAAUGCGUAGAGAUCGGGAGGAAUACCAGUGGCGAAGGCGGCCUUCUGGACUGACACUGACACUGAGGUGCGAAAGCGUGGGUAGCAAACAGGAUUAGCUACCCGAGUAGUC
rnacentral:rRNA from 1 species